rnacentral:rRNA from 1 species
AACGAACGCUGGCGGCAUGCCUAGCACAUGCGAGUCGAACGAGACCUUCGGGUCUAGUGGCGCACGGGUGCGUAACGCGUGGGAAUCUGCCCUUGGGUUCGGAAUAACAGUUGGAAACGACUGCUAAUACCGGAUGAUGACGUAAGUCCAAAGAUUUAUCGCCCAAGGAUGAGCCCGCGUAGGAUUAGCUAGUUGGUGAGGUAAAGGCUCACCAAGGCGACGAUCCUUAGCUGGUCUGAGAGGAUGAUCAGCCACACUGGGACUGAGACACGGCCCAGACUCCUACGGGAGGCAGCAGUGGGGAAUAUUGGACAAUGGGUGAAAGCCUGAUCCAGCAAUGCCGCGUGAGUGAUGAAGGCCUUAGGGUUGUAAAGCUCUUUUACCCGGGAUGAUAAUGACAGUACCGGGAGAAUAAGCUCCGGCUAACUCCGUG